GAUGAACGCUGGCGGCGUGCCUAAUACAUGCAAGUCGAGCGAACAGACGAGGAGCUUGCUCCUCUGACGUUAGCGGCGGACGGGUGAGUAACACGUGGAUAACCUACCUAUAAGACUGGGAUAACUUCGGGAAACCGGAGCUAAUACCGGAUAAUAUAUUGAACCGCAUGGUUCAAUAGUGAAAGACGGUUUUGCUGUCACUUAUAGAUGGAUCCGCGCCGCAUUAGCUAGUUGGUAAGGUAACGGCUUACCAAGGCGACGAUGCGUAGCCGACCUGAGAGGGUGAUCGGCCACACUGGAACGGAGAAACGGUCCAGACUCCUACGGGAGGCAGCAGUAGGGAAUCUUCCGCAAUGGGCGAAAGCCUGACGGAGCAACGCCGCGUGAGUGAUGAAGGUCUUCGGAUCGUAAAACUCUGUUAUUAGGGAAGAACAAAUGUGUAAGUAACUAUGCACGUCUUGACGGUACCUAAUCAGAAAGCCACGGCUAACUACGUG
rnacentral:rRNA from 1 species